GACGAACGCUGGCGGCGUGCUUAACACAUGCAAGUCGAACGGUGAAGCGCCUUCCUUUUUGGUGGGUGUGGAUGAGUGGCGAACGGGUGAGUAACACGUGAGUAACCUGCCCCCUUCUUCUGGAUAACCGCAUGAAAGUGUGGCUAAUACGGGAUAUUCUGGGUCUGUCGCAUGAUGGGUCUGGGAAAGAUAUUGUUUCGGUGGGGGAUGGGCUCGCGGCCUAUCAGCUUGUUGGUGGGGUGAUGGCCUACCAAGGCGGUGCCGGGUAGCCGGCCUGGGAGGGUGGCCGGUCAGACUGGGACGGAGACACGGCCCAGACUGCUACGAGAGGCAGCAGUGGGGAAUAUGGCACAAUGGGCGCAAGCCUGAUGCAGCGACGCCGCGUGAGGGAUGGAGGCCUUCGGGUUGUGAACCUCUUUCGCCAGUGAAGCAGGCCUGCCUCGUUUGUGGGUGGGUUGACGGUAGCUGGAUAAGAAGCGCCGGCUAACUACGUG
rnacentral:rRNA from 1 species